GAUGAACGCUGGCGGCGUGCCUAAUACAUGCAAGUCGAGCGAACAGACGAGGAGCUUGCUCCUCUGACGUUAGCGGCGGACGGGUGAGUAACACGUGGAUAACCUACCUAUAAGACUGGGGUAACUUCGGGAAACCGGAGCUAAUACCGGAUAAUAUAUUGAACCGCAUGGUUCAAUAGUGAAAGACGGUUUUGCUGUCACUUAUAGAUGGAUCCGCGCCGCAUUAGCUAGUUGGUAAGGUAACGGCUUACCAAGGCAACGAUGCGUAGCCGACCUGAGAGGGUGAUCGGCCACACGGGAACUGAGACACGGUCCAGACUCCUACGGGAGGCAGCAGUAGGGAAUCUUCCGCAAUGGGCGAAAGCCUGACGGAGCAACGCCGCGUGAGUGAUGAAGGUCUUCGGAUCGUAAAACUCUGUUAUUAGGGAAGAACAAAUGUGUAAGUAACUAUGCACGUCUUGACGGUACCUAAUCAGAAAGCCACGGCUAACUACGUG
rnacentral:rRNA from 1 species